AUUCAGCUGACGACUCCCGAAUAGGACGAAACGCACUUCCUGUAU
rnacentral:hammerhead_ribozyme from 1 species